rnacentral:rRNA from 1 species
UACGUAGGGUGCGAGCGUUGUCCGGAAUUAUUGGGCGUAAAGAGCUCGUAGGCGGUCUGUCGCGUCUGCUGUGAAAUCCCGGGGCUCAACUCCGGGCUUGCAGUGGAUACGGGCAGACUAGAGUUCGGUAGGGGGAGACUGGAAUUCCUGGUGUAGCGGUGAAAUGCGCAGAUAUCAGGGAGGAACACCGGUGGCGAAGGCGGGUCUCUGGGCCGAUACUGACGCUGAGGAGCGAAAGCGUGGGGAGCGAACAGG